ACUGGCGGCAGCUUACCAUGCAAGUCGAGCGGGCACCUUCGGGUGUCAGCGGCAGACGGGUGAGUAACACGUGGGAACGUACCCUUCGGUUCGGAAUAACGCUGGGAAACUAGCGCUAAUACCGGAUACGCCCUUAUGGGGAAAGGUUUACUGCCGAAGGAUCGGCCCGCGUCUGAUUAGCUAGUUGGUGGGGUAAUGGCCUACCAAGGCGACGAUCAGUAGCUGGUCUGAGAGGAUGAUCAGCCACACUGGGACUGAGACACGGCCCAGACUCCUACGGGAGGCAGCAGUGGGGAAUAUUGGACAAUGGGCGCAAGCCUGAUCCAGCCAUGCCGCGUGAGUGAUGAAGGCCUUAGGGUUGUAAAGCUCUUUUGUCCGGGACGAUAAUGACGGUACCGGAAGAAUAAGCCCCGGCUAACUUCGUGCCAGCAGCCGCGGUAAU
rnacentral:rRNA from 1 species